ACCUCAAUCGAGGAAAAGAAAAGAUUGUGGACUAAAUUGCAAAAUCUUUGUAUUUUGGUACCAAGUUUUGGACAAGCCAGCUCAGGAGUCGGGAUAGGUCGAAGGCUCAGUCACACUAUCCGGAAGACUUUUGGUAAUGACUUGUAAAUUUAAGUAUGGCAUGUAUAGCAAUAUACUUUUUUUGUGUAAAUGAUCUUAUGGUAUGGUGAUGGAAUGGUUGAGGAAA